ACCGCAGGGCGAGAGCCGAGAUAUUACACGAUCGAUCAGCUGUGCGCCUUUUACCGGGCUGCACGCUGGAGCAAGACCCCACACCUGUGCACCUUUUCGGUUGCGGCUUCGGUCGCUGCCGCUUUUAAAUGCAACAACUCAAUCUCGAAUGUUAACAAAACCAUAAAAAGUAACAACUUUCAACAACGGAUCUCUUGGCUCUCGCAUCGAUGAAGAACGCAGCGAAAUGCGAUAAGUAAUGUGAAUUGCAGAAUUCAGUGAAUCAUCGAAUCUUUGAACGCAUCUUGCGCUCCUUGGUAUUCCAUGGAGCAUGCCUGUUUGAGUGUCACGUAAACCCUCACCCCUGUGAUGUAACAGUCGCUCGCGGUGGACUUGGACUGUGCCGUAACCGGCUCGUCUUGAAAUGCAUUAGCUGGCGCUUUUAGAGUGCUGGGCGACGGUGUGAUAAUUAUCUGCGCCAAUGCCUUAGGCCUCUUCAGCGGUGCUGCUUACAGCCGUCCCUCUGUGGACACAUUUUUUAAAGCUUUGGCCUCAAAUCAGGUAGGACUACCCGCUGAACUUAAGCAUAUCAUAACCCGGAAAGGAAAAAAUGGA
rnacentral:misc_RNA from 1 species